rnacentral:rRNA from 1 species
CCCUUAGAUACCCCCGGCCGCACGCGUGCUACAAUGGACACGUCAACAAGUUCCAGCUGUUCUGUGUGGUGUAUUAGUGUUCGCACUCGCCGCGUAUUUUUGAAGGAAUGGCUAAUCUUUGAACCGUGCCCAAGGUUGGGAUCGCGGAGUGCAAUUCUUCCGCGUGAACAAGGAAUGUUUCGUAGACGCGAGUCAUCAACUCGCAUCGAUUACGUCCCUGCCCUUUGUACACACCGCCCGUCGCUACUACCGAUUGAAUGAUUUAGUGAGGACUUCGGACUGGGACCGAUGCGGCUUUCGGGCUGCGUCGGUAUUCUGGAAAGAUGUCCAAACUGUAUCAUUUAGAGGAAGUAAAAGUCGUAACA